rnacentral:rRNA from 1 species
UACAGAGGGUGCGAGCGUUAAUCGGAAUGACUGGGAGUAAAGCGCGAGUAGGCGGCUUUGCAAGUCGGGUGUGAAAUCCCCAGGCUUAACCUGGGAACUGCAUUCGAGACUGCAUUGCUAGAGUAUGGGAGAGGGAAGUGGAAUUUCCGGUGUAGCGGUGAAAUGCGUAGAUAUCGGAAAGAACACCAACGGCGAAAGCACUCUGCUGGGCCGACACUGACACUGAGAGACGAAAGCUAGGGGAGCGAAUGGG